CAAUCUCAGUUCAGACUGCAGGCUGCAACUCGCCUGCACGAAGUCGGAAUUGCUAGUAAUCGUAGGUCAGCAUACUACGGUGAAUACGUUCCCGGGCCUUGUACACACCGCCCGUCAAACCAUGAGAGUUGGCAACACCCGAAGUCGGUAGUCUAACCGCAAGGAGGACGCCGCCGAAGGUGGGGUCGAUGAUUAGGGUUAAGUCGUAACAAGGUAAC
rnacentral:rRNA from 1 species